rnacentral:rRNA from 1 species
CCUACGGGAGGCAGCAGUGGGGAAUAUUGCACAAUGGGCGUACCCCUGAUGCAGCGACGCCGCGUGAGUGAAGAAGUAUCUCGGUAUGUUAAGCUCUAUUAGCAGGGAAGAAAAUGACGGUACCUGUUUAAGAAGCCCCGGCUAACUACGUGCCAGCAUCCGCGGUAAUACGUAGGGGGCAAGCGUUAUCCGGAUUUACUGGGUGUAAAGGGAGCGUAGACGGCAGAACAAGUCUGGAGGGAAAUGCUGGGGCUUAAACCCGGAACUGCUUUUGAAACUGGGGAGCUAGAGUGCAGGAGAGGUAAGUGGAAUUCCUGGUGUAGCGGUGAAAUGCGUAGAUAUUAGGAGGAACACCAGUGGCGAAGGCAGCUUACUGGACUGUAACUGACGUUGAGGCUCGAAAGCGUGGGGAGCAAACAGGAUUAGAUACCCCAGUAGUC